AUCAUAGAGGCAGACCAUGCAGCUGCUAUUUGGCCCUUGGAGAGAGGGGCCCAGCUCCAGUUGGUCCCAUUCUAUUUUCUAGGGGAUUGACAGAACAGAGGGAGCAGUAAGCAGCUGGGACCUGGCACUAUUGGAAAGACAACUGCAAGGACUCAGGGCAGUAUUAGUGUGAUCACCUGAACCCUUCCCGGCAAAGACUGUGUGGUAUUCAAGCAGCAGGACAUGUCUAGACCAGCGGAUCUCUGGACAGCUUUGAUAUAGGACUGAUUGUCCAGAUGAGACAACACUUUAAACCUGACAGGUUUCUCUGUAUUGUCGACAUUUGAAGAUGACAAACAACAAGCUUAAUGGAUACAUCCCAAGAAGAUAAAUAAAAGAAAAAACAAAGGUGCGCUCCUAGUGCAGGCAACUAAAAUUGAGAUAAGGUGCACAUAUGAGAUUGGAGGCUUACCAGAUAGUGUUGUGCUCAGGGCACAACACCUCAGCAGGCACGUAGAAUCGCUGUAGGAACGAAGGUCAGCAGCUACGGUAUUUGUGUUCCUGCCGAAAAAGCCAGCAGUAAAUGGAGGUAAUAGCCACCAAAAGAAACAAUCAUAGCAGGUGGUGAUCUGAGUGAAAAUACAUUACAGCAAAUUGGCCCUUCAUGUUCCAUUUAAUAGCAUUGCUUGAAAACUGGAUAAAUGUCGCAACUAACUUCAGGGACAACUGAAAAGUAAAGAUGGAGCCUGCAGAGCAGACAUUUGGUGAAAAAUGCCAUAUACAAGUUAUAUAAUAGCCAGAAAUGGUGUUACUCCUCACACACUGUACAGAAACAUGAUAGCUUAUCAUAAAAAGUUACUCGAAACCACAGAAGCGCGUGUGAAUAAGCUGAGAUUAGUUUGCAAGGAACUCAACAUUUAUUAUAGCUGGAGCAAUAAUAAACAUGAAUACUCAAGAGGCUAGACCGAGAAAGUAGAAGACUUUUUUCUUCAGAUUGCCUUAUUGUAGCUGUCAUGCGGUCAUUGACGUGUCUUUCCAUGACAACACAGGAGCUGUCCUCACCAUUGGGUGCACCCAGAGCACUGACUUGGAAACUAAACCACCUGUUUAGUCCCUUAAGACUUUUAUUCAGAGUUCACCAUCUGUCACCAUUUACAGCACACAGGAAUUAUACCUUCAUUAUUUACUUUACUGGAUACAAUGCUAGCACAGAGGCCUAACAGACCAAAACUGUAUGGGAGUUUUAAUUAAUAAAGUUUAU